GAUGAAGAACGUAGCGAAAUGCGAUAAGUAAUGCGAAUUGCAGAAUUCAGUGAGUCAUCGAAUCUUUGAACGCACAUUGCGCCCUGUGGUAUUCCGCAGGGCAUGCCUGUUCGAGCGUCAUUUCAACCCUCAAGCUCUGCUUGGUGUUGGGCCACGCCCCCGCGGCCGGCCCCAAAGCUAGUGGCGGUGCCGUCUGGCUCUAAGCGUAGUACAUCUCUCGCUCUAGGGCCCGGCGGUUGCUUGCCAGAACCCACACUCUUAUGGUUGACCUCGGAUCAGGUAGGGAUACCCGCUGAACUUAAGCAUAUCAAUAAGCGGAGGA
rnacentral:misc_RNA from 1 species